UUUAGUUCUCAUUUUUGGUCCCUUAGUUAUUGGACCUUAUCAUAAAAGCUACCUUCUCCUAUGGUCCAUCUGCUUUGUAUUAUUUCCUGUCAGAGGAGGAAAUGGAGAUCCUUCUACUAGAAACUGCAGAUUUUACUGUAGAUUUCACUGGCGCAAAGCUGCAAAAUAUAUUUUAGUUACUUCCUAAUGAAUUGUUUCUAUUUUCCCAUUAGGAGAUUUUUUUUAAACCAUCUUGCAACUGAUUGGUAGGAAUGAACCUGGAAUUUUAACUGCUAGAAAGGAUUUAGACUACAUUGGAUGAGAAGAACUGUUGGAAGCCUUGAAGAGGCAAAAGGGUACGUUUGAAACCGGUCAAGAAGAUAGUACUGAAAUUCUGGAGGAGUUAAAGCUGAGGUUGGCAUACAGGGAAGCAGCUGUGGCUGUUCUUGCAUGCUACAAUCCAAAUCCUCACCGUCCUUUCACUGAGACUAAUAUUCGUUCCAUUCGCAGCAAGCCAAAUAUGCGUUAUGUUGAGACUACCAGAAGGUUUUUUUGAGA